rnacentral:rRNA from 1 species
UACGAAGGGUGCAAGCGUUACUCGGAAUUACUGGGCGUAAAGCGUGCGUAGGUGGUGAGUUAAGUCUGUCGUGAAAGCCCCGGGCUCAACCUGGGAAUGGCGAUGGAUACUGGCUCGCUAGAGUGCGGUAGAGGAGAGUGGAAUUCCCGGUGUAGCAGUGAAAUGCGUAGAGAUCAUGAGGAAGACCAGUGGCGAAGGCGGGUCUCUGGACAGUUCCUGACGCUGAGGCACGAAGGUCAGGGGAGCAAACGGG